UCGGGAAUUUUGGGCAAUGGGCGAAAGCCUGACCCAGCAACGCCGCGUGAAGGAUGAAGUAUUUCGGUAUGUAAACUUCGUAAGAAUAGGAAGAAUAAAUGACGGUACUAUUUGUAAGGUCCGGCUAACUACGUGCCAGCAGCCGCGGUAAUACGUAGGGACCAAGCGUUGUUCGGAUUUACUGGGCGUAAAGGGCGCGUAGGCGGUUUGUCAAGUCAGUUGUGAAAUCUCCGAGCUUAACUCGGAACGGUCAACUGAUACUGUCAAACUAGAGUACAGAAGGGGCAAUCGGAAUUCUUGGUGUAGCGGUGAAAUGCGUAGAUAUCAAGAGGAACACCUGAGGCGAAGGCGGGUUGCUGGGCUGAUACUGACGCUGAAGCGCGAAAGCUAGGGUAGCAAACGGGAUUAGAUACCCUCGUAGUCCCUGAGCGGGCUGGCAAGGCGCAU
rnacentral:rRNA from 1 species